rnacentral:rRNA from 1 species
AGCCUACAAGCUAGCCCACUUAACAAAACCCAACAACCCCCUAUUAAUAAACCCCCAGACCCUUAUGAUUUUAAACAAAACAUUCUUCCUCCCCAGUAUGGGCGACAGAAAAGGACCUAUGAAGCGAUAGCAAAAGUACCGCAAGGGAAAGCUGAAAGAGAGGUGAAAGAGACCAGUAAAGCCUUAGGAAGCAGAGCUUAGCACUCGUACCUUUUGCAUCAUGAUUUAGCAAGAGCUUGCCAGGCAAAAAGAAUUAUAGUCUGGCCCCCCGAAACCAAGUGAGCUACUCCAGGACAGCCCUGUGGGGCGAACCCGUCUCUGUGGCAAAAGAGUGGGACGAGCCUUGAGUAGAGGUGACAGACCUACCGAACUUGGUUAUAGCUGGUUGCCCACGAGAUGAAUAGCAGUUCAGCCCCUUUUAUUCUUGACGCAUUUACCGGUUCCCACCAUUCAAGCAGUUAGAGAACUCCAAGGGAGUUAGUCGAAGGGGGUACAGCCCCUUCGAGGAAGACACAACUUUUACAGAAGGCUAAAGAUCAUAGUAUCUUAGGAGCAGUGUUCUAGUUGGCUUAGAAGCAGCCAUCCAUGAGGAAAGCGUUAAAGCUCAUACACGAAAAACCUCCUAUUAUUCGGACCACCUAAUCUUACGCCCCUUCUAGUACUGGGCCUUUCCAUACCCUUAUGGAAGAGACGAUGCUAAUAUGAGUAAUAAGAGAGCCAGACUCUCUCCCGGCACAGGCGUACGUCGGAACGAACCCCCACCGAACAUUAACGGCCCCAUGACAUUGAGGGCCAUGGGGAAAAUGGCUUAGCCACUGGAAAACCCCCCAUCCCCCGCCGUUAACCUUACACCAGAGUGCCCCCCGGGAAAGACUUAAAGGAAGAGAAGGAACUCGGCA